CCUACGGGCGGCAGCAGUAGGGAAUAUUGCUCAAUGGGGGAAACCCUGAAGCAGCAACGUCGCGUGGAGGAUGACGGUUUUCGGAUUGUAAACUCCUUUUGUUAGGGGAGAUAAUGACGGUAUCUAACGAAUCAGGACCGGCUAACUCCGUGCCAACAGCCGCGGCAAUACGGAGGGUGCAAGCGUUACUCGGAGUCACUGGGCGUAAAGCGCGCGUAGGCGGGAUAGCAAGUCAGUUGUGAAAUCCUAUGGCUUAACCAUAGAACUGCAUUUGAAACUGUUAUUCUAGAGUAGGGGAGAGGUAGGUGGAAUUCGUGGUGUAGGGGUAAAAUCCGUAGAGAUCGAGAGGAAUACUCAUUGCGAAGGCGACCUGCUAGA
rnacentral:rRNA from 1 species